rnacentral:rRNA from 1 species
UACGGAGGAUGCAAGUGUUAUCCGGAAUGAUUGGGCGUAAAGCGUCCGCAGGUGGCAAUGUAAGUCUGCUGUCAAAGCGUCUGGCUCAACCAGAUAAAGGCAGUGGAAACUACAUAGCUAGAGUAAGGUAGGGGUAGAGGGAAUUCCUGGUGUAGCGGUGAAAUGCGUAGAGAUCAGGAAGAACACCGGUGGCGAAAGCGCUCUACUGGACCGCAACUGACACUCAGGGACGAAAGCUAGGGGAGCGAAUGGG